rnacentral:rRNA from 1 species
GACGAACGCUGGCGGCGUGCUUAACACAUGCAAGUCGAGCGGAAAGGCCCUGCCUUUGUGGGGUGCUCGCGUGGCGAACGGGUGAGUAACACGUGAGUAACCUGCCCUUGACUUUGUGAUAACUUCAGGAAACUGGUGCUAAUACCGGAUAGGAGCUCCUGCUGCAUGGUGGGGGUUGGAAAGUUUCGGCGGUUGGGGAUGGACUCGCGGCUUAUCAGCUUGUUGGUGGGGUAGUGGCUUACCAAGGCUUUGACGGGUAGCCGGCCUGAGAGGGUGACCGGCCACAUUGGGACUGAGAUACGGCCCAGACUCCUACGGGAGGCAGCAGUGGCAAAUAUUGCACAAUGGGCGGAAGCAUGAUGCAGCAACGCCGCGUGCGGGAUGACGGCCUUCGGGUUGUAACCCGCGUUCGCCUGUGACGAAGCGUGAGUGACGGUAAUGGGUAAAGAAGCACCGGCUAACUACGUG